rnacentral:rRNA from 1 species
AUGGACCAGUUCCACGACGGGCACCACGUGCGGCUGCGGAACCUCGUGCAGCGCACCUACCUCCACGCCGCCGACGACGGGGUGGGCGUCACGCUCCACGAGCGCCGCGCGUCCAUGAACGCGGCGUGGGCGGUGCAUAUUUACCACGGCGGAGACGGCGAUGGAGACGGCGACGGCCAGAGCCUGCUCCUCCACAGCGCCGCCUACGGCCGCUACCUUGCCGCCGCGGCCAGGCCGGCACGGCUCGGCCACAGAGGCCUCCGCGCGGAGCUGAGCGACUACGACCUUCCGGAGGUGGAGGCCAUCGUGUGGCGGGCCGUCGGGUCGGGCUUCGAGGACGACGUCGUCCUGCUCCGCCACCUCGGCGGCCGCUACCUCCGCGCCAACGGCAAGUACCUCCCCUGGAACUCCUCCGGCGUCAGCGUCGACGACGACGCCAGCCCCAUGAUGUACUGGGUCGUCGAGCCCAUCCCUUUCAGAGAGGCGGGCAUGCCUGCCAUUCCUGGUCCGCUUCCGACUCGCCCAAGAUGCCUCUCCGCCAUAUUCGGUUCUCCCGGACGGCGGAUCCUGUUCGUGCGGGCGCUCGAGGACGGGUUCUACCCCGAGGAGGUCGACGGCUGGCGCCUGUUCUUGUUCAAGGGGAGGUCCGUGUUCCGCCUGAGGGACGACCUGGCGUUCCGCGUCGCUGCCGGCGUGGACGACCCGAACAUCGCCAUGUGCGUCCGAGCGGGCCGCUACGGGAGACUGACCCCGCUCGUCGUCGACCUGCCCCAUGGCGGCUACGGCGAGGGCGAGACCCUCGAGAUUGUCGUUUUCCUGGCCGGGACACCUGGUGAGAGCCUCUCUUCAUGCCCCUACAUAUCUCCUAAUGGUGGCAACAAGUGA